GACGAACGCUGGCGGCGUGCUUAACACAUGCAAGUCGAGCGGAGCGGCGAACGGGUGAGUAACGCGUGAGUAACUGCCCCCCUCUCUGGGAUAACAGUUGGAAACGGCGGCUAAUACAGGAUAGUGGGGGAGGACUCGCGUCCGAUCAGCUUGUUGGUGGGGUAGUGGCCUACCAAGGCGCCGACGGGUAGCCGGCCGGAGAGGGCGACCGGCCACAUUGGGCUUGGAUACGGCCCAAACUCCUACUGGAGGCAUCAGGGUGGAAUAUUGCACAAUGGGGGAAACCCUGAUGCAGCAACGCGCGUGCGGGAUGACGGCCUUCGGGUUGUAGACCGCUUUCAGCCAUGACGCGGUAGUGUCAGAAGAAGCACCGGCUAACUACGUGCCAGCAGCCGCGGUAAUAC
rnacentral:rRNA from 1 species